rnacentral:rRNA from 1 species
UACGGAGGGAGCUAGCGUUGUUCGGAAUUACUGGGCGUAAAGCGCACGUAGGCGGACUUUUAAGUCAGAUGUGAAAUCCCGGGGCGUCAACCUCGGAACUGCAUUUGAAACUGGAAGUCUGGAGUUCAGGAGAGGUUAGCGGAAUACCGAGUGUAGAGGUGAAAUUCGUAGAUAUUCGGUGGAACACCAGUGGCGAAGGCGGCUAACUGGACUGAUACUGACGCUGAGGUGCGAAAGUGUGGGGAGCAAACAGGAUUAGAUACCCCGUACGU